AGGACGAACGCUGGCGGCGUGCCUAAUACAUGCAAGUCGAACGGUCUUUUCUAUGGAAGCUUGCUUCCACUGAGAAGAUAGUGGCGAACGGGUGAGUAACACGUGGGUAACCUGCCCAUAAGAGGGGGAUAACAUCCGGAAACGGGUGCUAAUACCGCAUAGUUUUCUUGAUCGCAUGAUUGAGAAAGGAAAGACGGCCUUUGUGCUGUCGCUUAUGGAUGGACCCGCGGCGUAUUAGUUAGUUGGUGAGGUAACGGCUCACCAAGACGAUGAUACGUAGCCGACCUGAGAGGGUGAUCGGCCACAUUGGGACUGAGACACGGCCCAAACUCCUACGGGAGGCAGCAGUAGGGAAUCUUCCGCAAUGGACGAAAGUCUGACGGAGCAACGCCGCGUGAGUGAAGAAAGGUUUUCGGAUCGUAAAACUCUGUUGUCAGAGAAGAACAAGUUGGAGAGUAACUGCUCCAGCCUUGACGGUAUCUGACCAGAAAGCCACGGCUAACUACGUGCCAGCCGCCGC
rnacentral:rRNA from 1 species